rnacentral:rRNA from 1 species
UACGGAGGAUGCAAGCGUUAUCCGGAAUUAUUGGGCGUAAAGCGUCCGCAGGUGGUCCAUCAAGUCGGCUGUCAAAGACCGGAGCUCAACUCCGGGCAGGCAGUGGAAACUGGUGGACUAGAGUACGGUAGGGGUAGAGGGAAUUCCCAGUGUAGCGGUGAAAUGCGUAGAGAUUGGGAAGAACACCAGUGGCGAAGGCGCUCUACUGGGCCGUAACUGACACUCAGGGACGAAAGCUAGGGGAGCGAAAGGG